rnacentral:rRNA from 1 species
UACAGAGGUCUCGAGCGUUAGGCGGAAUCACUGGGCUUAAAGCGUGUGUAGGCGGAUCGUUAAGUGCCUUGUGAAAUCCCACGGCUUAACCGUGGAACUGCUUGGCAUACUGGCGAUCUUGAGCAACCUAGGGGCGAGCGGAACAAAUGGUGUAGCGGUGAAAUGCGCAGAUAUCAGGAGGAACACCGAUGGCGAAGGCAGCUCGCUGGGACGGUACUGACGCUGAGACGCGAAAGCGUGGGGAGCGAACAGG